rnacentral:rRNA from 1 species
UACAGAGGAGCCAAGCGUUGUCCGGAUUGACUGGGCGUAAAGCGCACGCAGGCGGACGCGCGCGUGGGGUGUGAAAUCUGGCCGCUUAACGGCCAGGCGCCAUCCCAUACGGCGCGACUGGAGUGAUGCAGAGGUCGAUGGAAUUGCCGGUGUAGUGGUGAAAUGCGUAGAGAUCGGCAGGAACACCCAGGGGGGAAACCAGUCGAACUGGGCAUCUACUGACGCUGAGGUGCGAGAGCGUGGGGAGCGAACCGG